GGCGCCGGGCUGGGAGGCUGCGGCGAUGGCGCUGGGCUUGGGGGAGUGGGGCUGGGAGGCGCCGGGCUGGGCGGCAGCGGACUCGGCGGCUGCGGCGAGGGCGGCGGGCUGGGUGGAGUGGGGCUCGGCGGGGCAGGGCUGGGCGGCGCCGGGCUAGGAGGCGCCGGGCUGGGGGGUGGGCUGGGUGGCGCUGGGCUGGGAGGCCGCGGGCUAGGCGGCGCGGGGCUAGGCGCCGGGCUAGGCGGCACCGGGCUGGGAGGCGCCGGGCUGGGAGGCCGCGGGCUAGGCGGCGCGGGGCUAGGCGCCGGGCUGGGCGGCACCGGGCUGGGAGGCGCCGGGCUGGGAGGCUGCGGCGAUGGCGCUGGGCUUGGGGGAGUGGGGCUGGGAGGCGCCGGGCUGGGCGGCAGCGGACUCGGCGGCUGCGGCGAGGGCGGCGGGCUGGGUGGAGUGGGGCUCGGCGGGGCAGGGCUGGGCGGCGCCGGGCUAGGAGGCGCCGGGCUGGGGGGUGGGCUGGGUGGCGCCGGGCUGGGAGGCCGCGGGCUAGGCGGCGCGGGGCUAGGCGCCGGGCUAGGCGGCACCGGGCUGGGAGGCGCCGGGCUGGGAGGCUGCGGCGAUGGCGCUGGGCUUGGGGGAGUGGGGCUGGGAGGCGCCGGGCUAGGCGGACGGGGGCUGGGAGGCCGAGGGCUAGGCGGCGCAGGGCUAGGUGGCGCAGGGCUGGGCGGACGGGUGGCGCACUUGAAGUCCGGCGAGUCGGGGUGCGGCACGGUGAAGGUCCACAGACUGGAAAGGGACGCAAAGGGCAAACACGCACGAGCAGAUUCAGAUAGACGCGCACAGCAGCAUAGUCACACAUGUGCACAACAGGGUACGGUACGGCCGCAAGUCGGGACCGCAGGACAUCAUGCGCUCACCACUCGUUCGGCUGGUCGCCAGUGCCGCAGCCCGCGAGCUGGCCGUUCACCGUGCGUGGGCCCUGGCACGUCGCAGCCAGGCCGUUCAGCGUCACGCUCAGCGGCGGCGCGCCGGCGGCAAGGCACGAGCCGCUGCCGUCCUUGACGGUGAAAUACACCGUGGCGGGGGCCAGCGUAGACGUGCUGAAGCGAACGUACUGGCAGUAGCGCUCUGCAGGCGGACGCGUAUGACAAACGUUCACUCAGGUUGCAUGCAGCAAGCCAGUCACGCACAGGGCGAUCCGUCACUAGGAGCCAUGGCAUACGAAGCUUCCCAACGCUCCAGCCGCAUACCGUAGCUGAGGAGCGAACCGGCAGACCCUUCAAGGCAGCAGAUUCUCCAUGCACACACUUACGUGACAGGCCGCCCCACCAAGUGUCGCGCUUGGCCGUGGCGCCGGUCACCGCAGAUGCGCCGGCGGACGGGAUGACGCCGUAGAACUGGUCGCCGCUGCAGAUGUGGCUGACACUGUCGGCGGGGUAGGCCUUGGGGCAGUUGCGGCUGUUGUCCCAGUACAGACACACCUGGCAGUCCUGCGCCGUGGUGCCGUUGGCAAGCGUCACCAUGCUGCACGCGUCACUGUAGUACACCGACAUGCAUGACGCCUGGUCCACGCACGUGUCCAGCGGGCCUUUGCUGCCGGGCGUGACUGCAGUGAAGUUGGUGGGGUCGGAGAAAACGCAGCCCGACGGGGGCUGCCCCUGAACCAGCGGGUUGGGCGGCGGCGCCGGGCUCGGCGGCGAGGGGCUGGGCGGCGAGGGGCUGGGCGGCCGCGGGCUGGGCGGCGGGCUGGGUGGGGCAGGGCUCGGAGGCGCCGGGCUAGGAGGCGCCGGGCUAGGGGGUGGGCUGGGUGGCGCCGGGCUGGGAGGCCGCGGACUGGGCGGCUGCGGCGAUGGCGGCGGGCUGGAGCUCCGCGGGGCCGGGCUGGGCGGAGUCAAGGUCGGCGGUGCCGGGCUCGGAGGUGGGUUGGGUGGCGCCGGGCUGGGAGGCCGCGGGCUAGGCGGCGCGGGGCUAGGCGCCGGGCUAGGCGGCACCGGGCUGGGAGGCGAAGGGCUAGGCGGACGGGGGCUGGAAGGCCGAGGGCUAGGCGGCGCAGGGUUAGGUGGCGCAGGGCUUGGCGGACGGGUGGCGCACUUGAAGUCCGGCGAGUCGGGGUGCGGCACGGUGAAGGUCCACAGACUGGAAAGGGACGCAAAGGGCAAACACACGCAAACAGAGUCAGAUAGACGCUUACAGCAGCAUAGUCACACGUGCGCACAACAUGGCAAGGUAAGGCCGCAAGUCGGGACCGCAGGACAUCAUGCGCUCACCACUCGUUCGGCUGGUCGCCAAUGCCGCAGCCCGCGAGCUGGCCGUUCACCGUGCGUGGGCCCUGGCACGUCGCAGCCAGGCCGUUCAGCGUCACGCUCAGCGGCGGCGCGCCGGCGGCAAGGCACGAGCCGCUGCCGUCCUUGACGGUGAAAUACACAGUGGCGGGGGCCAGCGUAGACGUGCUGAAGCGAACGUACUGGCAGUAGCGCUCUGCAGGCGGACGCGUAUGACAAACGUUCACUCAGGUUGCAUGCAGCAAGCCAGUCACGCACAGGGCGAUCCGUCACUAGGAGCCAUGGCAUAGCAGGUUUUCAGAAGCUUCCCUGCGCUCCAGCCGCAUACCGUAGCUGAGGAGCGAACCGGCAGACCCUUCAAGGCAGCAGAUUCUCCAUGCACACACUUACGUGACAGGCCGCCCCACCAAGUGUCGCGCUUGGCCGUGGCGCCGGUCACCGCAGAUGCGCCGGCGGACGGGAUGACGCCGUAGAACUGGUCGCCGCUGCAGAUGUGGCUGACACUGUCGGCGGGGUAGGCCUUGGGGCAGUUGCGGCUGUUGUCCCAGUACAGACACACCUGGCAGUCCUGCGCCGUGGUGCCGUUGGCAAGCGUCACCAUGCUGCACGCGUCACUGUAGUACACCGACAUGCAUGACGCCUGGUCCACGCACGUGUCCAGCGGGCCCUUGCUGCCGGGCGUGACUGCAGUGAAGUUAGUGGGGUCGGAGAAAACGCAGCCCGACGGGGGCUGCCCCUGAACCAGCGGGUUGGGCGGCGGCGCCGGGCUCGGCGGCGAGGGGCUGGGCGGCGAGGGGCUGGGCGGCCGCGGGCUGGGCGGCGGGCUGGGUGGGGCAGGGCUCGGAGGCGCCGGGCUAGGAGGCGCCGGGCUAGGGGGUGGGCUGGGUGGCGCCGGGCUGGGAGGCCGCGGACUGGGCGGCUGCGGCGAUGGCGGCGGGCUGGAGCUCCGCGGGGCCGGGCUGGGCGGAGUCAAGGUCGGCGGUGCCGGGCUCGGAGGUGGGUUGGGUGGCGCCGGGCUGGGAGGCCGCGGGCUAGGCGGCGCGGGGCUAGGCGCCGGGCUAGGCGGCACCGGGCUGGGAGGCGAAGGGCUAGGCGGACGGGGGCUGGAAGGCCGAGGGCUAGGCGGUGCAGGGAUAGGUGGCGCAGGGCUGGGCGGACGGGUGGCGCACUUGAAGUCCGGCGAGUCGGGGUGCGGCACGGUGAAGGUCCACAGACUGGAAAGGGACGCAAAGGGCAAACACACGCAAACAGAGUCAGAUAGACGCUUACAGCAGCAUAGUCACACGUGCGCACAACAUGGCAAGGUAAGGCCGCAAGUCGGGACCGCAGGACAUCAUGCGCUCACC
rnacentral:lncRNA from 1 species